AGUAGAUAGUUUAACCUUUUAAACUUCUUUUCUCAGUUGUUAACCUUUGGUUAAUGCUAUUGAUUUAGAUAUUCUUUCCCUUGCUGAGUGUAUUGCAGUGUCUUCUCCUUGCUUAUUAUUUGUUAAGUCCUUACGCGUUGUAGGCCUUUGGAUGUGCAGAUUUAACAUUUACAGUUUCAGCUAUUCUCAGCUGACACCAAGGUCUAUGAUUCAGUAAUUUGUAGUCUGGCUGAGACUGAAAUGUUACUUGCUUGCUGCCUGGCUUGCAAAUAGGAAUUGAUCAUGUAGCUCAAAGAGG